rnacentral:lncRNA from 1 species
AUGUCAAAAUGUGUAUUUUCCCCUGCAAAAACUGACAGUUCAUUUUACUGUUUUCUAUACCAUCUCACAUAUUGUAGUAGUGCCUUUUUUCAGAUAUUAUGUUGCUUCACAAAGUUGAAAAAAAGUGACCUUAGCAAGUAUGAAAGAAAAAGAGCUGUUCAACAAGAUUUUUUGUGAUAAUUAACAUAUUACUGUAGAAUGUCAAUGAUGAAAAUGGUCUUUGUUUUAGCUUUGUAAAUGUUUAGAGUACAGGCCCAAACCUAAUAAAAUAAUGGAACUGAUUUAACACUAGACAUUUUGUUUUUAUUUAUUACAAUCAUAAUUUUACACAUAUAAAUCAAAUUAAUAAUAAAAUUGUGCUGGUGUAUCUUACUGACAUGCUAUAAUGUUUUGUCAUAUUGACUUGUAUUGUUAGAUGAGUAUGGUAUUAGAUGGCAAUGCCACUACAAUAUUUUCCCAAGUUAUUCUGUUUUUAAAAACUACCAGAUAUAUCAGUCACUGGUGGAUAUGUUUUACUUUCAGAGUAAAUACUCUCCACGUAUCCUCUAUCUAGUGCACUUUUUAUGUUCCCUGUACUAUGAUGGCAUAUUUUACAAGGACAGGACAAACUGACAAUAAAACACCAUUUGCUAGAUAUGAAAUGAAAAGAGGUUAUAAUCCAGAUGCAGUGAUCUACAUUAAUGAAGGCCCGGUCACUCUGUUAAUGAACCUCUGCUGCCAUCUCAUGGCCAUUACAUAGUUACAUUAUUUUUUUUAUCCAAAAAUAACAAUUAUGUCAUCAUUUAAUCACCCUCAAAUUGUUCCAAGCCUGUAUGAGUUUCUUUCUCCCGUUGAGCACAAAAUAAGGUAUUCUGAAGAAUGUUGCUAACCAAACAGUUGACAGUAGCCAUUGACUUCCAUAGUAUUUUCCCAUUCUAUAUGGAAGUCAAUAACGCUGUCAACUGCUUGGUUACCAACAUUCUUCAAAAUAUCUUCUUUGGAAAUAUAUGAAACUAUUGUGUCAUAGUGACUCAAAACUGACCUCCCAUACAUUUCUUUUUCCAUGAG